rnacentral:rRNA from 1 species
GACGAACGCUGGCGGCGUGCUUAACACAUGCAAGUCGAACGCUGAAGCUUGGUGCUUGCACUGGGUGGAUGAGUGGCGAACGGGUGAGUAAUACGUGAGUAACCUGCCCUUGACUCUGGGAUAAGCCUGGGAAACUGGGUCUAAUACUGGAUAUGACAUGCCACUGCAUGGUGGUGUGUGGAAAGGGUUUUACUGGUUUUGGAUGGGCUCACGGCCUAUCAGCUUGUUGGUGGGGUAAUGGCCUACCAAGGCGACGACGGGUAGCCGGCCUGAGAGGGUGACCGGCCACACGGGGACUGAGACACGGACCAGAAUCCUACGGGAGGCAGCAGUGGGGAAUAUUGCACAAUGGGCGGAAGCCUGAUGCAGCGACGCCGCGUGAGGGAUGACGGCCUUCGGGUUGUAAACCUCUUUCAGCACGGAAGAAGCGAGAGUGACGGUACGUGCAGAAGAAGCGCCGGCUAACUACGUG